rnacentral:rRNA from 1 species
UACGUAGGGUGCAAGCGUUGUCCGGAAUUAUUGGGCGUAAAGAGCUCGUAGGCGGUUCGUCGCGUCGGCUGUGAAAUCCCGAGGCUCAACCUCGGGUCUGCAGUCGAUACGGGGCGGACUGGAGUUCGGCAGGGGAGACUGGAAUUCCUGGUGUAGCGGUGAAAUGCGCAGAUAUCAGGAGGAACACCGAUGGCGAAGGCAGGUCGUCUGGGCCACUACUGACGCUGAGAAGCGAAAGCAUGGGGAGCAACAGG